UACAGAGGUGGCAAGCGUUGUUCGGAAUUACUGGGCGUAAAGGGCGCGUAGGCGGCCGCCUAAGUCAGACGUGAAAUCCCCCGGCUCAACCUGGGAACUGCGUCUGAUACUGGGUGGCUUGAGUUCGGGAGAGGGAUGUGGAAUUCCAGGUGUAGCGGUGAAAUGCGUAGAUAUCUGGAGGAACACCGGUGGCGAAGGCGGCUUUCUGGACAGAAACUGACGCUGAUGCGCGAAAGCUAGGGGAGCAAACAGG
rnacentral:rRNA from 1 species